rnacentral:rRNA from 1 species
GAUGAACGCUAGCGGCAGGCUUAAUACAUGCAAGUCGUGGGGCAGCAUGAGUAGCAAUACUUGAUGGCGACCGGCAAACGGGUGAGGAACACGUACACAACCUUCCUUCAAGCGGGGAAUAGCCCAGAGAAAUUUGGAUUAAUACCCCAUAAUAUAUUUGAUAAGGCAUCUUAUUAAUAUUAAAGCUUCGGCACUUGAUGAUGGGUGUGCGGCUGAUUAGAUAGUUGGCGGGGUAACGGCCCACCAAGUCUACGAUCAGUAGCUGAUGUGAGAGCAUGAUCAGCCACACGGGCACUUGAGACACGGGCCCGACUCCUACGGGAGGCAGCAGUAAGGAAUAUUGGA